GGCGCUAUAGUGUAGUGGUUAUCACUCGAGAUUCUGAUGACUGAAUAGUUCUUACAUGCAAGUUCUCGUAACCCAGGUUCGAGUCCUGGUAGUGCCU
rfam:Hebeloma cylindrosporum h7 unplaced genomic scaffold scaffold_29, whole genome shotgun sequence.